CCAUAAGAUAUGAAAGUAGAACCUUAAGUGGUAUGGAACUGAUAAGGGUGUAGCCUGAACUGGACGGGGCGUACCCCCGAACUGGACAGGGCAUACCCCGAAUUGGGCAGAGUGUGCCCCCAAGCUGGACAGUGUGAUAAGUCUGAACCACUACCACGAACAUCCAGCUAGAAUAGUAUAAAAGGAGCUGAAGACCCCAAGCAAGUCGAUGAUUCAUCCCACUGACCAGUCGACCAGUCAAUUUGAUGAUCUGACUACUGACCAACACAUCGGCACACCUGAUCCCGCUGGGAGGAGCAUCGCCGCCGACCAGACGAGACCAGAGGACGAGGCAAGCGGAGAGGCGUAUAGCCUAGUGCCGACUCGAAGCCCUUCGUCUACGGAUCAGACCCUCUGACCCCGCGGGAGGAAACGUUGCGCUCCCAUUAAGGACUUGCGCAGUACAGCUCUCUGCUUGAACACUCAGCGCAGGAACGGUCCAGAUGGUGGCUGGUGAUUUACCUGACAAAGAAGACUGUGAGCCUCCAAAACGACUCCUCCCAGCUGGGCCCGGGCACCACAUCUGCACACAAGGGCAGCAGGUGAUGAGGAAGGGUCACGUUGAGGGUGAAGCGGAAUUCCAGGUCUGCGGCAGUCACCAGCAUUAGCUCCCGAAUGACCCAGGAAGAGGUAAAGUCAGGAGUAAACCUGGUAACAGCAGGCAGCGGCAGACCUGCACUGGACUGGAACACACCCAGCUGCAGAGCCACCGCAGGCUCGCUGGUGCGGAGAAACCCUCACACCUUCCGGAUCACAGAAGCGGUCCGUGUGCUGCGCAUACAGCAGGAGAAACUGAGCCCCAGCCUCCUCACUGCACUCUGACUGGCACAGGAAGUCAGCUACGAGCUGAACAGACAGAGACGGAGACUGAGACUGAUUUAGGCAGAUGCGUCAGCCACAGGGACACACUUACCGGAUCAGUAUGAGUGAGGAGUACGUAAUCUGAGCUACACUGCCAGGCCCUCAUCAACCUAUCUGCAUUUGUUUAUCCUGAUGAGUUCACGCCAAUAAACAGUUCCCAAGUUGCAGCUGAGACAUAUAGGGAGCGGCUGCAGGACAACCUGACAUGAAAGCUGGAAAGGAAUUUGCUUCCUGGCUUGGAAGAAACUGGGACGUAAAGCCUUCUAUACAAAGAUGCCUUGAAUGUAAAACCAUUAACCAGAAAAGAGACCAGGAAGUCUGCUCAAAUCCCACAGCAAUCAGAUGAGACCACCCAUUCACUGUUGGACCACCCCAAGAUCACUUUAAUAUUCAAUUUAAACUUAUAUGGAAACCAUAUUUUCACUUGUAGUCUCUCCAAUCAGCCUGGGAAAUGUGCUUUUAUUCAUGCGCUUCUUCCUUUUCUCCAAAAGCAUUUCUGAGUAAAGCAUUCUGCUCUAAA